GGGUUGUGAGGUUAAGCGACUAAGCGUACACGGUGGAUGCCCUGGCAGUCAGAGGCGAUGAAGGGCGUGCUAAUCUGCGAUAAGCGCCGGUAAGGUGAUAUGAACCGUUAUAACCGGCGAUACCCGAAUGGGGAAACCCAGUGUGAUUCGUCACACUAUCAUUAACUGAAUCCAUAGGUUAAUGAGGCGAACCGGGGGAACUGAAACAUCUAAGUACCCCGAGGAAAAGAAAUCAACCGAGAUUCCCCCAGUAGCGGCGAGCGAACGGGGAGGAGCCCAGAGCCUGAAUCAGCAUGUGUGUUAGUGGAAGCGUCUGGAAAGGCGCGCGAUACAGGGUGACAGCCCCGUACACAAAAGCGCAUGUGCUGUGAGCUCGAUGAGUAGGGCGGGACACGUGGUAUCCUGUCUGAAUAUGGGGGGACCAUCCUCCAAGGCUAAAUACUCCUGACUGACCGAUAGUGAACCAGUACCGUGAGGGAAAGGCGAAAAGAACCCCGGCGAGGGGAGUGAAAAAGAACCUGAAACCGUGUACGUACAAGCAGUGGGAGCCCCACCACUAAGCCAGUGGUGAACUCCACAUCCGCAUCCUUUGCUGAGGAUACGGUUAACGGAGCGAAAGCGACGUUCAACCGCAAAACAAGCAGAGGGGGCUUAGUGGUGGGGUGACUGCGUACCUUUUGUAUAAUGGGUCAGCGACUUAUAUUCUGUAGCAAGGUUAACCGUAUAGGGGAGCCGGAGGGAAACCGAGUCUUAAUUGGGCGUUAAGUUGCAGGGUAUAGACCCGAAACCCGGUGAUCUAGCCAUGGGCAGGUUGAAGGUUGGGUAACACUAACUGGAGGACCGAACCGACUAAUGUUGAAAAAUUAGCGGAUGACCUGUGGCUGGGGGUGAAAGGCCAAUCAAACCGGGAGAUAGCUGGUUCUCCCCGAAAGCUAUUUAGGUAGCGCCUCGUGAAUUCAUCUCCGGGGGUAGAGCACUGUUUCGGCUAGGGGGCCAUCCCGGCUUACCAACCCGAUGCAAACUGCGAAUACCGGAGAAUGUUAUCACGGGAGACACACGGCGGGUGCUAACGUCCGUCGUGAAGAGGGAAACAACCCAGACCGCCAGCUAAGGUCCCAAAGUCAUGGUUAAGUGGGAAACGAUGUGGGAAGGCCCAGACAGCCAGGAUGUUGGCUUAGAAGCAGCCAUCAUUUAAAGAAAGCGUAAUAGCUCACUGGUCGAGUCGGCCUGCGCGGAAGAUGUAACGGGGCUAAACCAUGCACCGAAGCUGCGGCAGCGAACGUAUCACCCAAGACAACUUUACGGAGUUGACGAUUGACGGAGCGAAGCGACGUCAAAGCGUUCAUUAAAGUCGAGUUGGCUUAGGGAUACGUUCGUUGGGUAGGGGAGCGUUCUGUAAGCCUGUGAAGGUGUGUCGUGAGGCAUGCUGGAGGUAUCAGAAGUGCGAAUGCUGACAUAAGUAACGAUAAAGCGGGUGAAAAGCCCGCUCGCCGGAAGACCAAGGGUUCCUGUCCAACGUUAAUCGGGGCAGGGUGAGUCGACCCCUAAGGCGAGGCCGAAAGGCGUAGUCGAUGGGAAACGGGUUAAUAUUCCCGUACUUGGUGUUACUGCGAAGGGGGACGGAGAAGGCUAUGUUGGCCGGGCGACGGUUGUCCCGGUUUAAGCGUGUAGGUGUGUGUUCCAGGUAAAUCCGGUUCACUUUAACACUGAGGCGUGACGACGAGGCACUACGGUGCUGAAGCAACAAAUGCCCUGCUUCCAGGAAAAGCCUCUAAGCAUCAGGUAACACGAAAUCGUACCCCAAACCGACACAGGUGGUCAGGUAGAGAAUACCAAGGCGCUUGAGAGAACUCGGGUGAAGGAACUAGGCAAAAUGGUGCCGUAACUUCGGGAGAAGGCACGCUGACACGUAGGUGAAGUGAUUUACUCAUGGAGCUGAAGUCAGUCGAAGAUACCAGCUGGCUGCAACUGUUUAUUAAAAACACAGCACUGUGCAAACACGAAAGUGGACGUAUACGGUGUGACGCCUGCCCGGUGCCGGAAGGUUAAUUGAUGGGGUCAGCGUAAGCGAAGCUCCUGAUCGAAGCCCCGGUAAACGGCGGCCGUAACUAUAACGGUCCUAAGGUAGCGAAAUUCCUUGUCGGGUAAGUUCCGACCUGCACGAAUGGCGUAAUGAUGGCCAGGCUGUCUCCACCCGAGACUCAGUGAAAUUGAACUCGCUGUGAAGAUGCAGUGUACCCGCGGCAAGACGGAAAGACCCCGUGAACCUUUACUAUAGCUUGACACUGAACAUUGAGCCUUGAUGUGUAGGAUAGGUGGGAGGCUUUGAAGUGUGGACGCCAGUCUGCAUGGAGCCGACCUUGAAAUACCACCCUUUAAUGUUUGAUGUUCUAACGUGGACCCGUAAUCCGGGUUGCGGACAGUGUCUGGUGGGUAGUUUGACUGGGGCGGUCUCCUCCUAAAGAGUAACGGAGGAGCACGAAGGUUGGCUAAUCCUGGUCGGACAUCAGGAGGUUAGUGCAAUGGCAUAAGCCAGCUUGACUGCGAGCGUGACGGCGCGAGCAGGUGCGAAAGCAGGUCAUAGUGAUCCGGUGGUUCUGAAUGGAAGGGCCAUCGCUCAACGGAUAAAAGGUACUCCGGGGAUAACAGGCUGAUACCGCCCAAGAGUUCAUAUCGACGGCGGUGUUUGGCACCUCGAUGUCGGCUCAUCACAUCCUGGGGCUGAAGUAGGUCCCAAGGGUAUGGCUGUUCGCCAUUUAAAGUGGUACGCGAGCUGGGUUUAGAACGUCGUGAGACAGUUCGGUCCCUAUCUGCCGUGGGCGCUGGAGAACUGAGGGGGGCUGCUCCUAGUACGAGAGGACCGGAGUGGACGCAUCACUGGUGUUCGGGUUGUCAUGCCAAUGGCACUGCCCGGUAGCUAAAUGCGGAAGAGAUAAGUGCUGAAAGCAUCUAAGCACGAAACUUGCCCCGAGAUGAGUUCUCCCUGAGACUUAGAGUCUCCUGAAGGAACGUUGAAAACGACGACGUUGAUAGGCCGGGUGUGUAAGCGCAGCGAUGCGUUGAGCUAACCGGUACUAAUGAACCGUGAGGCUUAACCUUACAACGCCGAAG
rnacentral:rRNA from 1 species